GACGAACGCUGGCGGCGUGCUUAACACAUGCAAGUCGAACGAAGUGGCGAACGGGUGAGUAACGCGUAAUCAACCUGCCCUUCAGAGGGGGACAACAGUUGGAAACGACUGCUACUACCGCAUACUUAAGGAGGUGAUUACGAUUGAUUAGCUGGUUGGCGGGGUAACGGCCCACCAAGGCGAUGAUCAUUAGCCGGUUCGAGAGGAUGAACGGCCAAAUUGGGACUGAGAAACGGCCCAGACUCCUACGGGAGGCAGCAGUGGGGAAUUUUCCGAAAUGGAGGAAAGUCUGAAGGAGCAACGCCGGGGGAGUGAUGACGGCCUUCGGGUUGUAAAGCUCUGUUAAGCGGGACGCGGUACCGGAAUAGAAAGCCACGGCUAACUACGUGCCAGCAGCCGCGGUAAUAC
rnacentral:rRNA from 1 species